rnacentral:rRNA from 1 species
CCUACGGGAGGCAGCAGUGAGGGAUAUUGGUCAAUGGGGGAAACCCUGAACCAGCAACGCCGCGUGAGGGAAGACGGUUUUCGGAUUGUAAACCUCUGUCCUCUGUGGAGCUAAUGACGGUAGGAGAGCAGGAAGCUCCGGUUAACUCCGUGCCAGCAUCCGCUGUAACCCGGAGGGAGCCAGCGUUGUCCGGAUUUACGGGGUGUAAAGGGUGAGUAGGCGGCUUUGUAGGUCAGAAGUGAAAUCCUUGGGCUUAACCCAUGAAGUGCCUUUGAAACUGCAGCGCUUGAGUGGAGGAGAGGUAGGCGGAAUGCCCGGUGUAGCGGUGAAAUGCGUAGAGAUCGGGAGGAACCCCAGUGGCGAAGGCGGCCUACUGGCCUGUAACUGACGCUGAGGCACGAAAGCGUGGGUAGCGAACAGGAUUAGAUACCCCAGUAGUC